UGGUGAGCCUGCUAUCCAGGGGCCUGCUUGGCCUAGCCAUGUCUGGAAUGUGUAACCCCAAGUCCAAAUCACACGGAGAGCCCACUUACCAGGGGCCUAAGUGAGUACAGCUGAGCUGUGACGUUGGAACCUAGUGUUUCCUUGGCCCCCUUGCCUUAUGCUGCGCUCAGCUGGAGAGCUGGUGCUAUGAGAGUUCGUUGUUCAUCCAGUGUCUGGGUGACACACAUGCCCAGGGGCUUGUGGGUUCAGAGGGUUUCCAGUCUGAGGGCCCCCGGUAGUUGCUCUCUUCUGCAGACUGUAUUCCUCAGUGUCCUUCUGUGUUCGAGGGUUUGUGGUCUGUGGGCUCCUGGUCAGCCAGGGAUCUGGAGGUUCUGUUUGACCACUAGUGAGCUGGGGCAGGCAGCUCGUCGUCUGAGGGCUCAUGAUCCGAUAUCCCCCACCAUGUCCUGUGAUGUGGUGACUCCUUUCCCAGGACUUACUUGUUUCUUAAAAUAUGCUACCAGAUGCUUAGAGGCACUGCAGACAUUGUACACAUGGGGGUGGACUGAAGUUGUAGGGCAGUAAUGUGCCAUGUGCUAAACUGGGUUGGAGAGCUCCAGAGAAGCCGUGAGUGCCCUGGGUUCCCUCAGGAUGUGGACUCACAGCUUUCCUCUGUUGAGCCAGGUAUUGACCACAGAGGUGUGGGAGAGGCAUUUUCCUCUGCCUGAGUAUCCAUGGUAUCGAUUCCCAGUGUCCGGCUCCCACAGGCCACAUGGGAAUGUGUCCAUGAGGAGCCAGGCCAAUCUCACAGUGGGAAAUGGGACCAGGAGUCACCUGCUGUGGAUUCGUGGACGCUCAGGAACACAGAGGGAGUUGAAGAGAUGUGCAGGGGGAGCCCAAAGAGCUGGCGAGAGGCCUGGGUCAGAAAUGGUGGGCAGGGGGCUUGCCAUGGAUAGGAGCAGAAAAUAGUGCAGAGAACCUGAGGGAGAGAAGGGAGAUCUGUGGCUGAAGUGCCCUCUGUUAUCACGGGGGCCUGCGGGUUUGCCAUGCUCUUAUAUCAGCCCAGGUGCAUCAGAGUGGCUUUCUGUGAUGUCACCGCCAUGCCCGGGCCAAUCAUACAGGCUCUCAGGUUGGCCUGUUUCAGGUGGCCAAUCACCAUGCAGCUCAGGUGGCCAAUGUCAGAUG
rnacentral:lncRNA from 1 species